UAUGUUUUAAUCAAUAUAAUCACAGUAACAGUUCAAUGUAAUGUAGAGUUUGUCUGAAUGCGUUUACAUGUCGUGCAUUACAGAAAACGUGUUUAGCCCCACUUGUUGCUAACUAACGUUAACAUUACUGUUUUAAAAAAUUUGAAUCAGUGCACCGUUAGCGUUAGUUGUAAUGUGUUAACUAUGAAUUUUAACAGUGUUAUAAGGACAAAAACAUUUGAAAUCGGCAGAUUCAAUUUUUAACAUAUUUUUAAAUCUUGGCGCGAGCAUGCGUUUAGGUUGUCAUGGUGACGCGCGCUCACACAACCGCACGUCAUGGCACUGCCCUGAACUCUGUCCAGACUGUGAAUGUGGUAUUAUCUUCGCGAUCUGUUGGCACUACGGAAACGAAAGGCGCAUAAUCAUACCUCAAAUAAUCUCCGCCUAAAUACUGAACGGUAUUUUCUGAUGACGGGCAAAAACUUAGCCUCAAAACGUAGCUGUCUGUCACACACAGCUUGUUGCAUGCUGAUCCAUACACGAGAGCCUAACGGAGAACAUUUAAGCUGUGCUCCUCACCUGAGCAGAAUUGAAGGUCGGUUGUUGCUGACUACAGAAAGAUUCUUAUAUGGAGGCAUGUAAAAGCAAGGAAAGUGAAACUUCAGCUAGACCUUGAGUUCAGUUUACAAUAUGAAGAUCCUGAUAUCAACAUCUGAUCUGAUCAACACCUGAUUUUCAUCUGAGGCAAACAGCAUCCAAAACUGACAAGACCGCAGAUACCCUGGCUAAUCUUUUGAAGGUUUAUGAUGAGCAGGAACUGCAUGAUGUCAGUUCAUGAUGGACUACUGUUAUCAGAGGUCUUUUGGUCUUGCUGCGUGAGCGUGACUGGGGAUUCUUUAGGACCACCCUGAUUAAUAAUCCUGAAGCGCUGACUGAAGAUGCUUUAUUGGCCCUGCAGUCACUGAGGGUCUCUGCUGUCCUGAAGAAUGAAUUGGACACCACCCACAGCACACUUCCAGACCUUUUUUGUCUUGUUUGGAUUAAUGUAUGCUCUUCACAUAGUAUAUAGUAAAGGACUUUGAACUUGUACAAAAGUUUUGCUUGGCAUGGAUGAUAGAAAAUAGAAAGUCGAUUAGCAUAGAAUCCUUAAAGAAUGAGUUGAUGUAGAGCCUUUUUUUGUACUCAAUAAAGACUGUCACUGGGGUAGUAACUUCAAAACAUGUAUGUACCUUUAAUUGGUAAU